UAGCAUAUGAUGAGAUUACUCGGAUUCUCCUUCAGGACAUCUUGGAUGAUGCAAAAACCGAGUUUCUGAUGCA